CCAUCCACCACCACCUGCAGCAGCGGCACAAAAGAUCUGGCCCGUGCGAUGCCGUCGCCUCGUUGAGCGGAGCCACACGUUGGCAAGCCCCCGGCCCGGCCCUUCGCCGUCGCGGCGCGCCGCCGGACUGUGUCCUCCACGCAACCGCCGCUCGCUCCGAUUCCCUGCCCGGAGCACGUCGGCCAGGUGAUGCCUGAUUUGGUUGCCUUCCUGUUGCCCUCGCGCCGCGCUCCGUUCCCACGCAACGCAUUCCCCCCGUCCCCCCCCCCCCCCCCCACCCCAAGCAGGGGAGAGGUAUCCGCGACGGGAGCGAGCGCUGCCGCUGCCGUUGGGCUCGAAUCUAUGGCCGCCGCCGCCGCCCGUGUGGCGCACGGGAGCGGCCGCCUCAGCCGCCCGCGCCCGCCGCGGGUGGGGCUGCGCGGCGCGUGGGCGGUGGCCGCGGCCGCGGCGGAGGGGCCGUCCUGCCUCUACGUGGGGCCGAUCGAAACCGCCAGCCAGGAGAAGCUGGAGGCGCUCUACCGCCAGGCCAGGGAUUCCUACUACAGCGGUCGGCCAUUGAUCGUCGAUGACAUGUUUGACAAAGUUGAGUUGAAGCUCCGGCUGUAUGGCUCCAAAUCUGUUGUGAAAUACCCCCGUUGCAGCCUCAUAAGCCAGUCAACUUAUGCCGACGCUGAGGAGGACCAAUCAAUGUUUAUGGCAUUAUCAAGCAUCUGGAUGCUGCUGCUCCUGUUUGGCACCUCGGCCUUCCUGGUUCCAAGUCUCUACACCCUGAGCCUUGCAUUCGGAGACGCAUUCGGAGCAAGGUACCUCUUGUACGGUACAAAGUCCCUUGACGCUAUAACAAGAGUCAAUGACCUGGCUUUAGUUGGACUGGGCUACCUGGUUGGCUACCCCAUUGCAUCUGCUUCUGUUGGUGCACUGCGAGGCUUAUUGUCAAAUAAUUUGGUUGCACUGAAAGGCUCCUGCCCAAAUUGUGGUAUUUGCAUUUGUUAAGACUGAUAGAUCCAUUCGAGCACCUCAUAGAGCAGAAUGUCAUGUUUGUGAAUGCCCAUUGGAGUAUCGCACUAAAAUCGAGAAAUCAUUAUCAGGGCCUAGAGGAAGCUGGGUCUACGGCCGAGUUUAUCUAGUGAAGCAAGGGCAUCCUAGGAAACGGAAAUGGAUAAAAGACUAGAGUUCCAAUGGCAGCUGCUGAAGAAAGUUAAGAUAUCUUUGCGAGAUGGGCAGAUGGCACUCUUGAUUGACUGAAUCAUUUUUCAGAUACCACUCUUAUUGUUCAGGGAGGCUUAUUGUAUACGAAUUCAUUGAAAGAUUGAUCAAGCCAUUAUUUUGUAAAAACAAAUAGUACAUUCCUUUCUGAGAUUUCCAAACACUGCAGAUGAACCCAUGUUGCAUUGUACUCGUCUUUUUCUGUUUUAGAUAAACCAAUGAUACAAUGAUAAAGGAUCACUCCAGAAGCUACAAAGGCAUCCAUGCUAUCAGGAGGGAGGAUCAAAAGGCUGAAACUCUGCAGCAAAUGUGUUUAAUCAUUUCAUCAAAGAUGUGUGUGAAUUAAUUUAUUCUGGAUACUCAACAUCUAUAAAGAAGUUACAAACUUGUUCA